GACCGAUAGCAAACAAGUACCGUGAGGGAAAGUUGCAAAGAACUUUGAAGAGAGAGUUCAAGAGUACGUGAAACUGCUCAGAGGGAAACGGGUGGGCCCUCGAAAUCCUGUGGCGAGAGGAUUCAGUCUGGCGCGGCGGACGGGCUUGGUCGGAAGAUGCAGGGCUUCCCGAGACGGGGGCCGUCCGAUCGUCCGUCAUCCGUCGUGCCCGACGCAUUUGUCUCUCGUCCGAAGGACGCUGCAGCCGGUCGGGCAGCGCAAGCGUGACGGCCUGAGGGUCGGGAGAUGGCAGGUGGCCGGUGGCGAGCCUCGUGUUCGUCGCCGGUUGUUAGCCGUCCCGUCAGUGGCACGUCGCUCGACCGAGGUGUCGCGAGUCCCCUCGGGGAUUCCACGUCUCCUCCCCACGGAUUGCGAUCGAGACGUCGCAGGCUUCGUAACCCGCGUUGUCGCACCGCCUCGCGGUGGGCUCGUGGUCGUUCGAUACCGUUGGCGACGUCCGUACCGCAGGAGGCCGGAGGCUUGCAGCGAGUAGGUCGGUCACCCACCCGACCCGUCUUGAAACACGAACCAAGGAGUCCAACAUGUGCGCGAGUCAGUGGGUCUUGACUAGGCCCACGGGCGCAAUGAAAGCGAAGGCGCGCUUCUCGCGUGCCGAGUUGGGAUCCCCUCCCCCGGGGGGGGCGCACCAACGAUCCGUCCCGUCCGGUUCGCCGGUGGGAUGGAGUGUGAGCGUACACGUUGGGACCCGAAAGAUGGUGAACUAUGCCCGGACAGGACGAGGCCAGAGGAAACUCUGGUGGAGGUCCGCAGCGGUUCUGACGUGCAAAUCGAUCGUCAGAUCCGGGUAUAGGGGCGAAAGACUAAUC
rnacentral:rRNA from 1 species